GUCCAGUCUCAUUAUUUUCUGACCUGGAAGUCAAUAGCGACACAUCGCUAAGACAAGGUGCACAUACAAUUGCUCCCUCUUCAAAAACGCCUUUUUUAUAUGCAUGGAGAAGAACUCUAACGAAACAUAAUUUUCGGUCACAAUUCAUUUGGGUAAUACCAUUUUGAAGUUGGACAAGUUUACUUUCAUCAUUGAUAAACUCUAGAAACCUCAUCUUCCUAUUUGGAGCUUGAGGGAAUAAAAGUGAACAAUCAUCAUGGAUUUCAUUCAAGAAAUCAUCCAAUGAACUGG
rnacentral:misc_RNA from 1 species